rnacentral:rRNA from 1 species
AUGACUUCUAUGCACAGAGUUCUGCUAUCUGGCGCCAGCUUGAUUUUCUCCGCAAUGCUGGUUGUCGUACUUUCCCCUGUUGCCAGGCUGUCUGGGCCAAUUUGGAGUUUCAUCGCGUCUACGAGUUCCUGUCUCGGCUCCGUAAGGAGUUUGAGCACCGGCGUGCUCAGUUGUUUGCUCGUGGCCGUAUUUCUCUCAUGGAGGUGCUUUCUGAGAUUCGUGUUGAGGAGACUCGCUUAUGUGGUGCUGGUUUGA